UAGAAAACCAAAGGAGAAUUAAUUUGUAGAUCUACACUUGUAUUUAUGAAAAUAGCCUGGAAAUCAAAGCUACUCUGCCAGCAAAAAAUACCCUCCAGGUAUGAGUCACAGCUUACACCUUACCAGUUCAUCUCCUGUUAGUGCUUCCUGCUUGUUAUGACAUAAUGCUUGGGUGCCUAUCUCCAUGGGAACAGAUAAAUACAGAUGCUUUGAAGUUAAGGCUCAGUGUGAAAGCAGCAGCAGUAAGCCACUGAUUUCAGCAUACAGUGCUUGACUAAGGAUUUCCUGAUCCAGUCAGCUUCGAAAAAUAUUAGAUUGCUCUUACACUGGGGAAGACAGCAUCUCAGGUCUCCAUGUCAGAAACAGAAGGAAAAGCUGCUGCUUCAACAUCACAUCAGGCAAAAAGAACAAGGCAAGGGCAUAGAGAAGAAGGCUUAGAAACAGAACUGACACCAGAAACAAGUAUAGUCUACAUGAAUGAUUAAUAAAAGUAUAGCCUUUGUUUUAUAAAGGAAAAGAACAGACAACUAAUACAAUUAAAGAGAAGAAUCAGCUAUACAUGCUACAUCAACAACAAUCCUGUACAAUUGAUUUUGUUAAGAAGCAAUGACUGGCCCAGCAUCACCAUGGAUAAAAUGAAUUAGAAUCUGGGAACACCGAAAAUACCACAUUUCUUCCUCCUUACCCAUUUCAGAAUAAAAAUGCCUGUUUCUCUCCUUAAAACCCCAAA